UUUUGGAUUUUCUAUUCUAUUCCAUUGAUCUAUGUGUCUAUUUUUGUGCCAGUAACACACUAUUUUGAUCACUACAUCUUUGUAAUACAGUUUGAAAU